UUAACUGGCCGCCGGGGGGCUCACGCCCCCGGGCCCGCGCCCGCCGAAGACACCCUCGAACUCUGUCUGAAGAUUGAAGUCUGAGUGAAAAUAUAAAUUAUUUAAAACUUUCAACAACGGAUCUCUUGGUUCCGGCAUCGAUGAAGAACGCAG
rnacentral:rRNA from 1 species